rnacentral:rRNA from 1 species
UACGUAGGGGGCUAGCGUUGUCCGGAAUCAUUGGGCGUAAAGGGCGUGUAGGCGGCCCGGUAAGUCCGCUGUGAAAGUCCAGGGCUCAACCCUGGGAUGCCGGUGGAUACUGUCGGGCUCGAGUCCGGAAGAGGCGAGUGGAAUUCCUGGUGUAGCGGUGAAAUGCGCAGAUAUCAGGAGGAACACCAAUGGCGAAGGCAGCUCGCUGGGACGUGACUGACGCUGAGACGCGAAAGCGUGGGGAGCAAACAGG